CACGGGGGGAGCAAGCGUUGUUCGGAAUCACUGGGCGUAAAGGGCGUGUAGGCGGUCUGGUAAGUGGGAUGUGAAAGCCCCCGGCUCACCCGGGGAUCUGCAUUCCAUACUGCUAGACUUGAGUAUGGGAGAGGACAGGGGAAUUCCUGGUGUAGCGGUGAAAUGCGCAGAUAUCAGGAGGAACACCGGUGGCGAAGGCGGGUCUCUGGACAGUUCCUGACGCUGAGGCACGAAGGCCAGGGGAGCAAACGGG
rnacentral:rRNA from 1 species